rnacentral:lncRNA from 1 species
CGAAAUUACAAAUGUAAAACAAUUCAAAAGAGUCUGACAUGAUUUGUAAUCAGUUGAAGUAUGAAAUCAUCAUAAUCAUAAUGUAUGGCCAUAUAUACUAGAAGGGACUAUUCCCAGGACCAAGAUAAAGUAAUUGAAUACUUUUUGGGGCAUGUUUUUUUUUUUUCAAAUAAGUUAGCAUUUAAUUUAUCUUUUUCCUUGACGAAUCCUUCUUUCAAAUUUCACAGUGAUCCAUUGUUAAAAU